rnacentral:lncRNA from 1 species
AAAUGCCCAGCUCGCCCUUUCCAUCCACAUUCCUCUGCUCAUUCAACAGAACCAUCUGGUGUGUGCCUACCAUGUGCUGAGGACUUAGAAGCAACACCUCAGUCAUUUUCCUUGGGGAUCUCUCAGUCUGUCAGCUGUGGUGAUAGGGACAGGCAACCCAUAAGACAGGUGGGGAAGGGAGCACCGAAAGUCAAUGAAGAGAUGUGAUCUGGAGUGAUUUACUACCAGGCCAAGUGACAGUCACCCUAUUUUGCUAUUUUUUAAUUACCAUUUCGAAUUAAUAAUGUGUCUCUUCCCACGCAUCCCCCUCAGAGUGGGGCGUAAACACCUUUGUAUGUGACUGUGCAGAGCUUUGAAGCUCCCAGAACAGCAGCCCUCCUGCCUUGCCUUCUCCCCAGGUAAUGUGACCCAGGCCUGUCCUUGGCUGCAGCCACCAACCCCACCCGGAGCGGCUGUCUGAACUGCCUGGCCUGCCUGGGUCUCCACGAAGGCCAGGAUCAGGCAGAAGGCGAUGGAGGCACCUCCCGCCUUUGCUUCGUUAGUCCCAGGACGAGCGGGCCCGCGCGUACCCGGAGAGGGGCGGCGGCGCGGGUGGCCUGGCGGGUCCCGGGGCCUCGGUUCGCAUCGGAGUCCCCUCUGUGCUCGCCCUGCAGCCGCUGCCCGAGAGGUCUGAGUCGCCACCAGCUGUGUCCGCGGGGAUGUGGGGAGCGAGAUGGGAGGGGUCGCCCGCUAGUCGUCCCCGCCGGACACCGGGCACCGCGUAGCCUCAGAGAGCCGCCCGGACGCGGGGCCGCCCUGGGGAGCGGGUGAGGCCGAGGACCAGGGGGAAGGAGGAGCCCGUGGACGGCUGCAGCCCCAGAUAAGAAGCUACAGCAUCUGUCAAGAGCCGUAUGUAGCUUGAGAUGACUACCUGAAGAUGUAUCAUGGUAUCAGCUGGUUAGUUAAGAAGUCGUUUUCCAGCUUCAACUGGCAAGUAACAAGCCAAGCAAGAAUUUCAAUGGAAAAUUACAGAGAUACUAACAGGUUUGAGUACUUAUGAAUACAAAAUAAAUAAACGGAUUUAAAUUACUUUAUUAUUACAAUGCAGAAAUGAGGAAGUGUAAUAGCCAGCUAGUCUUGGAACAUGGCACUGUGAAUGAAAUGAUUAAUUGCAUAUUCAUCUGGUCUCAGAUACAGGACAUUCUCUUGCAUAGGUUAAAUGUAUUAAUGGUAGAGAAUUAUGCAAAAAAUACUCAUUUUCUCCAAUACCAGAACAUACAGGAAGCAAGUAAAGUGAGUGCCUUUUUACCAAUAGUACCAGUAGAUAAGAAGAUAAGAUACAGAUAAUAAAGCACAGAGCAUUGCACAGAUCUACACCAAUGGAUUGGAAUGGAAUGUAGGAUUCUCUUCUUGCUGUGGACACCAUCAAAAUGUGAGAUCACUUCUCUGCUCAAUAGGACAAUCAUACUGAUUCCUUAGGAAGACAUAUAGGAAUCAGUAGAGGGAGAUCCUACCCUGGAAUCGUUUGAUGUCCUUGGGUUAUCUUCCUCUACAAAAAGGGCUAGUUGAAAUAAUGACAUGUGGGAGAUCAGCACUCCAAGUCAAAAUUGCAAAACAGAAGAAAAUUCCAGAAUUAUAUCACUGUUAAGAUAGCAACAAAUAAAUAAUUUGCACCCUACAACCCAUGUGUGAAUUUAAUUCUGGAAAACCCAAUCUGAGACAGGGACAUCCAUCACCAUGUGAAAAAGCCUGGGAUAGUCUGCUGGAAGAAAAUGUAACUUGCAGAGAAUAGAACAGAUAAACCUUGCAGUGUACCCAGUUGGAUUUCAGAACAUUGAAGAGCAGCAGCUUUUAUGGGAAUAAGAGUGUCCCUUACAGGAUGCUUUGCUUCCUCUCCUCCUGCCCUUGGAUAUCAGACUCCAGGUUCUUCGGCCUUUGGACUCUGGGACUUGCACCAGCAGCCUCCAAGGGACUCUCAGGCCUUUGGCCUCAGACUGAGGGUUGCACUGUCAGCUUCCCUGGUUUUGAGGCUUUCAGACUUGGACUGAGCUACACUACUAGCUUCUCUCUUUCCCCAGCUUGCCAACGGCCUAUCAUGAGACUUUGCCUUGUAAUUGUGUGAGCCAGUUCUCCCUAGAAAACUCUCUUACAUAUAUACGUACAUCUUAUUGGUUUUGUCUCUUUCAAGAACCCUGUGCCCAAACAACAGGGCCCAAACAAAGCUGUGCUCCAUCAUUCUGGGGUACUACUGCUGCUGCUGCUGAUGCACUUGGCCUUGCAGAGCCUAGGAUACUGUUGUGCCCGACCAUCCCAGGGGCUAGAGUCACUACUACAAGAUUCUUUAUCCUCCAGGACCCAAACUACCAGUGAGCCAUAAUGGUUCAGGUUCACAAAUUGCAUCCAUAGCCUUAUCCCUGGGCUCAAACCUGUAGAGCAUCCCUUCUUCCCCAGAGUUGGCCCAGCGCUGUGCCCUGUUUCCUAGGGAUAGAAUCACAGCCCCCUAGAAUCACCAUUUGAGCUGCUAAAGAAUGCCACAGCAUCACAUAUCCUGGCUCUGGAAACAACCUACAUCCAAUCCCGUCACAGAGAGCAAACCUGCAUCCCAAGACCCAGGUGCCACUAUAGGCUCAUGAGCCCAUGAGCCUAGGACCCUCAACCUACAGCCAUUCUGAGCAUCUGCACCUGAAACUCAGGACUGCAGCAGCUGUUUUUAGGCCAUGUCAAAACUGACACCAAGAAAGAUUCUCUUGGGUAAGUCUCCCUAUUGUGAGGAAAACAAGAAUAGGAGGACCCCAAAGAACAUUGGUACCAAGAACAUUAAUAACGUAUGCCCCUGACACUGCCACAGACUUUUACAGACUAGGUCACUGAGGCACCCACACUUACUGUUGAUGUCUAUUGCAGCUGAAAAAGCUACACGGAGAUUAUACCACUGCAUCUAUCCAGAAACAGAGUCACUACACCUUUUCCAAAUAACGUACUAUAACUCAAAUGCAAGUGAAAAUCUUUCUCCACCAAAGCCACGCUAGAAAGCUUGUAAGUGGUUAUUGUUCUACCAGACACACAGGCAUGAAUUCAGGGACACAAGAAACAUGAAGAAGCAGGGAAAUAAGAUACCACCAAAGGAACAUAAGAACUGUUUAGUAGCAAAUCCCAAUGCAAAGGAAAUCAAUGAAUUGCUGGAAAAGAAAUUCAAAGUAAUGAUCUUAAGAAAAUUAAAUAAGAUACAAGAAAAUAGAGAUAGACAAUUCAACAAAUUCAGGAAAACACUUCAUCAUAUGAACGAGAAAUUCAACAAAGAGUUAGAAAUUAUAAAAAAGAACAAAACAAAUCCUGCAACUGAAUAAUUCAAUGAAAGAACUAAGAAAUGCAAUCGAGAGCUUUAACAGUAUACUUGAUUAAACAGAGUAAAGAAUUACAGAACAUGAAAUAGGUCAUUUGAAAUUACCCAGUUAGAAAAAAUAUGGUAAUCAUCCUGAUUUGACCACAACAUAUUGUAUACAUGUAUUGAAUUCCCAUAAACCUAAACAAUUAUAUGUCAAUUAAAAAUAACAACAUUUUUAAAACCCACAAGACUGUAAACACCAAUGAAAAAAAGCACACAAUUAACAAUUAUUUUAAUUUGAUUUAUUAUUUUUAACUUUCGUUCCUGUUGAUUAUAUGCAUCCCUAUUUCUUCUUUGAUGAUUUUAAUGCAUACACUUUAAAUUUCUUUUAGAAAAUAAUCAUGUCUGGUACAUUUCCAAAGCAAUCAAAUUGCUUGAGUUUCAUAGAAGCAUGUUCAGCCUUCAAAUAGUGAUUAUGAUUUCACCCAACCCAUUCUGAUAUAAAUAACAAGUGUAAAAAGUAGAUUUUGUUUCCUAAGUUCUUUGAUGUCUCAUCAUCAGGACUCCUUCCUCUUGUGUUAAGCAACAUUGCCAGCCAAUCUUGACAGUUACUGUCACCAUUCAGUUUUCUUUAUAAGAAAUGAUCUGAGUAAGUGUGAGAUGCAGAUGAGAUAGACUAAUAAAUCCUAUGGGGCUCAGUUGAUUGUCUUAUAGAGAUGUCAUACUCCACUAGGUUCCACUUCCUUGGUAUUUAAAUUUUUCAUUAUAUUGGAACUAAAAAUAAUAAAAAGCUUAGAAAAAUAUUUGAAAUUUGCCAUCACUGUAACAUGAAAAUUUAAUUAGUUUUGCAUUUUGGCACCAAGAAGCAUGUCAUUUUCUUCUGUCUGAUUCAAAAAAUUCACAAAUGUAAGCAAAAAUGAAACUCCUAAUGUUAAUGAAACUUUUCUUCAGUUCUACACCAACCUAAGCUCAGAGUAGAGGUGAAUAGCUCCUAGGAAAUCUAUAAAACUUUAUCUUUUGGGAAGACU